ACGGGAAUUCUAUAGAAAUUGGUUAAAGUACAUGCGUUAGAUAGAUACCGUAUGUUUAUUUAUGUUCAUGGAGAAAUGUGUUAUUAAGUCCAGUGAUGAGCCUGUCGACGCCGGGUCAGAAAUCUAAAUAAAACUCUACUACUGACCACGGUGCGUCAGAUCAUUAGUAUGCACUUGAUCGCAUUUACUUAUUAGGAGGAGAAUGUUGUAGCGCAGUGUCCGUGCGUAUAAAAUUGGGGUGCGGGAAACACGGCUCUCCAGUAGUCAUCUGGAAGCUGUCUUUCUGCCUCCUCUUUUAUACAGGUAAGAUAAAUUAUAACGCUUGCGCGCAUUCUCAAUAGUAAAGUUAAUAGAUUCAGAGGGUUCAACUAAUAUUUUAUUUUCAGAGAUUUUUGUAAUAAAUAUUAAUGCUGAUAAAUUUCAUUGUAAUUAAUAUUGAUAUUUAUUGUUUAAAUGUCAUAUUAAAUUAAUAAAAGAGUAGUCAUCUGGAAGCUGUCUUUCUGCCUCCUCUUUUAUACAGACCGGGACACAGGCUACUCCCCAUGUAGAGGAGGAGACAUUCCGGAAACACCUUGGCUAGGGCACCCGCCAAGUGUGGGGAUGUUGGAACAAAGAUCUCGUGGAUCUAAAUAAAUUAAAUAUCAUAACAGUCCAUAUAACCCCAAGUCGACUUUUAUAAAAUAGACUGGAGGAAUUAUGAUAUAGAAAUGGACGUUAUGAUAUAGUGGUGGAAUCCGGGUUUCCAACUUGUCCUAGCCACGCAACGGAGGAGCCAUCAACGACCCAACGAAUAAGAUCGGGCAACGAACGUAGAGCAACACCGCCUCCACAGCAUUGUCUGAUCACUCCCAGGACGCAAACGACGCCCGGGAUCCUUUUCAAACACCCGGGACCGAAGCGAUUCCCUGGACGUAAUCAACGCCUACAGCAAAUCAACGCGGACGGAUACAUCGCUCCGGACGCACUCCGAGUCCCAGACAUUAAAAACGCACUGGAAAACCUCUCUCGCAUCAGCUAGGAAUAUGUAUCUACGGGAACUAUGAACAGUACAAACACCAGAUAUAUAUGUACGAGCCACCUGAAUCACAGCAAAGAUCCGAAUGAAUUCAAAAUUAUAUUGAAUGUUUUUAAUCUUGAGGACAAGAUUUUUUUGUUAGUAGGGGGAAUUUAUCAUAACGGGAAUUCUAUAGAAAUUGGUUAAAGUACAUGCGUUAGAUAGAUACCGUAUGUUUAUUUAUGUUCAUGGAGAAAUGUGUUAUUAAGUCCAGUGAUGAGCCUGUCGACGCCGGGUCAGAAAUCUAAAUAAAACUCUACUACUGACCACGGUGCGUCAGAUCAUUAGUAUGCACUUGAUCGCAUUUACUUAUUAGGAGGAGAAUGUUGUAGCGCAGUGUCCGUGCGUAUAAAAUUGGGGUGCGGGAAACACGGCUCUCCAGUAGUCAUCUGGAAGCUGUCUUUCUGCCUCCUCUUUUAUACAGGUAAGAUAAAUUAUAACGCUUGCGCGCAUUCUCAAUAGUAAAGUUAAUAGAUUCAGAGGGUUCAACUAAUAUUUUAUUUUCAGAGAUUUUUGUAAUAAAUAUUAAUGCUGAUAAAUUUCAUUGUAAUUAAUAUUGAUAUUUAUUGUUUAAAUGUCAUAUUAAAUUAAUAAAAGAGUAGUCAUCUGGAA